AUAUAGAUCACUUGGGGGUCAUGUUAAAAUGUAGACUCUGAUUCAGUCAUUCUGGAUAGGUCUGUAUUUCUAACAGGUUCCCAGAAGAUACCGAU
rnacentral:miRNA from 1 species